AAAUUGAAGAGUUUGAUCAUGGCUCAGAUUGAACGCUGGCGGCAGGCCUAACACAUGCAAGUCGAGCGGCAGCGGGAAGUAGCUUGCUACUUUGCCGGCGAGCGGCGGACGGGUGAGUAAUGUCUGGGAAACUGCCUGAUGGAGGGGGAUAACUACUGGAAACGGUAGCUAAUACCGCAUAACGUCU
rnacentral:rRNA from 1 species